UUGGAGUGAAGGCAGUCAGGAAAGAGGAAAGUUCCUCGGUGUUUUUCUGGCCAGCAUUCAAAUCCUCCGGGUUUGCAGAGCAAUGAACUGCCUCAUACAGCUGUCCUGUCAGAGGUCUGUAUGCAGAAUGAGACACUCAGGCUGCCUCCACAUCUUGACCGUUGUAAAUAAUGCUGCAAUGAACAUAUGGCUGCACAUGUACCUUUGAAGUAGCGUUCGGGUUUCUUCAGAUAUUGAACCAACCUUGUAUCUCAGGAAUAAGGGAUGGCUUCUGCAGGACGACUUCCCCUCUGAAAUGCCACUGUUCAAAGAAACACAUCAGAUUGUUCAAAGCUCUUCAGUAGGUGACAGAAUGCUGCUUCUCCUUUCCUUAAUGCCCAGAAAAUUAUCCCAUGUCUCUAUCGACUCUGAAAUCAAAGUAAUAA